AGAGAGAGACAUGCGCGCAUUAUCAAUAAGCGGAGGAAAAGAAACUAACAAGGAUUCCCUUAGUAACGGCGAGUGAAGCGGGAAGAGCUCAAAUUUGAAAUCUUCAAGGUUUUACCUUGACGAAUUGUAGUUUAAAGAAGUGUUUUCUGCUGAAGUUUUGGUAAAAGUUCUUUGGAAUAGGACAUCAUAGAGGGUGAGAAUCCCGUAUUUGACCAUUAUUUUCAGCUUUGUGAUACACUUUCAAAGAGUCGGAUUGUUUGGGAAUGCAGUCCAAAAUGGGUGGUAAAUUUCAUCUAAAGCUAAAUAUUGGCGAGAGACCGAUAGCGAACAAGUACCGUGAGGGAAAGAUGAAAAGAACUUUGAAAAGAGAGUUAAACAGUACGUGAAAUUGUCAAAAGGGAAGCGUUUGACACCAGUGUUGUUUUCUCGAAAAUCAAUUAAAAAUGGCUCGAUUUUGUAUUGCUUGAGACCUUAAAAGCUCACUGUACAUUUUUCGUGUCUUUUUUAAUGCACUUUUCGUUUAACAAGUCAACAUCAGUUUCUUUUGUUGUAAAAGGGUCAUUGGAAGGUGGCUUUCUUUUCGGAGAAAGUGUUUAUAGCCUUUGGCCUCUGCAAUCGGAGAGACUGAGGUCUGCAGCGUAGACUCUUCGGGGUUAGAUACAUUUGUGCUAAGUUAUAGCCUUUUCAUAGACAACUUGUUGACUAUGAAUCAGUCAUGUAGCUUACUCGCUUAUGCUAUUUUACCUACGCUUAGGAUGUUGAGUCGUAAGAGCACGCAG
rnacentral:rRNA from 1 species